UACGAAGGGGGCUAGCGUUGCUCGGAAUCACUGGGCGUAAAGCGCACGUAGGCGGCUUUCUAAGUCAGGGGUGAAACCUCUGGAGCUCAACUCCAGAACUGCCUUUGAUACUGGGAGCUCGAGUCCGGAAGAGGUGAGUGGAACUGCGAGUGUAGAGGUGAAAUUCGUAGAUAUUCGCAAGAACACCAGUGGCGAAGGCGGCUCACUGGUCCGGUACUGACGCUGAGGUGCGAAAGCGUGGGGAGCAAACAGG
rnacentral:rRNA from 1 species